rnacentral:misc_RNA from 1 species
UUUUUCUUUUCUUUUUUUUUUUCAAUUUUUGUGGUCUAGAUAUCAUCAUCAGUCCAAUCAAUAUUCUCGUUUUCAUAAAAUAAGCCAUCGACGAUUUGAUCAAUUAAGGAAUCGAUGAAGGUGUUGCAACCAAGGGUGAAAAUUCGGGUAACACGGGUGCGAGAACUGGAAGACCAAGCAAAAAGAGCAGCACAAGCCACUGCACCAACACAAACCCCAGUAGCUUCAGCUAUUCCUUGAAAAUCAGUCUUUCUGAAUACAGAAUUUCCAGUCACAAGUUCCAUAGACACUGUUGCUGCAAACACAAUCAUGGCAAGUCGACCAGAUAUAAUUUCAAAAUCAUGACUCUUCUUAGAGCUCUCAAUAUACUCCGAUAGCGUAGCGAAAAAAGGCGAAACCUCACUAUCUUCGCCAUUAAAAGCUCCGUUCUUCGUCUUUAUCACUCCGACAGGAUCCGACCCGAAUGAUCUUAAAGUAGUCAAUCUAGGCUGCAACAUGAUUUUCCCAAUCUCCUGCCCCGGUUCUGAAACUCUCAACUUCUGAACCGGAAUAAAACCGGCCGGUUCAGCCUUCUGAGUUUGUGGUUUAAGUUCACAGAAAACCGGUCCAGCUCUCAAUGCCAUUGAAGAAUCUAAUAAGAGAUGAUUCUUGAAAAG